CACCUCUCAGGGCCGCACCUGGAGAGUUUCCAGUACUCUACCAGUCUCAACUAUGGAAAGGAGAGACAAGCAGAGGCAUAUCCAUUCCAUUCUUAGCUUGGGCAGUGGCUAACAAGUGGAAGGCAAUCUGCUACAAGU
rnacentral:snoRNA from 1 species